AGUUCCUAUAUUGGGAGAGUUGGGACACUGAAUGUCAAUUUUCGAAAUUUUGUUUCAUAUACGUCGGUUGGAAUGUAUAAAAAAAACAAAUUGGGAUAGAAAUCAGUGGUGUUAUACUUGAAAUUUGGCGAAAAGUCAAAUAAAUUUGUCAAAAAAUGUUUCCAUUUUUCGUCGACUAACUGCGUUUAGAAAUGGUUUAGACUGGCAGUCGUCGUCAAUUCACUGUUUUUUUUAUAUGAACUCCAAAUUUUAAAAGAGAUUUCUUUAAAUGGUUAUCAUCGAUGAAAGAGACAGAAACUGAACCUUUCCUGCCAAGUUUUACGUUUAUUAUUAACAAGCAUUUGGAAAAGUGGAUUGUCGAAAUAAUGUUAU